GAAUUNAUAAUUNAAGGNAAAUUUUGCCCUAUGAAUAAUUAAAUGGCUGCAGUAUAUUGACUGUGCAAAGGUAGCAUAAUAAUUAGUCUUUUAAUUGAGGACUUGUAUGAAUGAAUAAAUGAGAAGUUUAUUUUAUUAUUUUUAAUUUUGGAAUUUAAUUUUUGAGUUAAAAAGCUUAAUUAAUUUUUAGGGACGAGAAGACCCUAUAGAAUUUUAAUUUCUUUUACUUUUUAUUUAUUUAGAUUUAAGUUAAUUAUAUAUUGUAUUUGAUAUUUUUGUUGGGGNGAUGAANAAANUUNACNUUNUUUUUUUUUUUUCAUUUUUAUAUGUUAAUAUCUGAUCCAUUAUUAUAAUGAUUAUAUGAUUAAAUUACCUUAGGGAUAACAGCGUAAUUUUUAUGGGGAGUUCAUAUUUAUAUAGAAGUUUGCGACCUCGAUGUUGAAUUAAGGUUAAAUUUUGGGGCAG
rnacentral:rRNA from 1 species